rnacentral:rRNA from 1 species
AUUGAACGCUGGCGGAAUGCUUUACACAUGCAAGUCGAGCGGCAGCGCGGGGCAACCUGGCGGCGAGCGGCGAACGGGUGAGUAAUGCAUCGGAACAUGUCCAUGUCGUGGGGGAUAGCCCGGCGAAAGCCGGAUUAAUACCGCAUACGCUCGAGAGAGGAAAGCCGGGGACCGCAAGGCCUGGCGCGAUUGGGUUGGCCGAUGUCCGAUUAGCUAGUUGGUGAGGUAAAGGCUUACCAAGGCGAUGAUCGGUAGCUGGUCUGAGAGGAUGAUCAGCCACACUGGGACUGAGACACGGCCCAGACUCCUACGGGAGGCAGCAGUGGGGAAUUUUGGACAAUGGGGGCAACCCUGAUCCAGCCAUUCCGCGUGAGUGAAGAAGGCCU